UGUAAGCGUAUACCAAAGUUGCUGCAGUUAAAACGCUCGUAGUCGGAAUUUGGCAGUUCCGGAUGUGUGCACGUCGUGUGCGCACUUCGCGGGGAUUGCCUUUGUGGUCUUGCGUAGGAUGAGGCACUUUUAUUAGUGAACGUCCUCACGCAACCACUUUUUACUGUGAGAAAAUCAGAGUGCUCAAAGCAGGCAUUUGCCGUGAAUGUAUUAGCAUGGAAUAAUAGAAUAGGACUUGGUUCUAUUUUGUUGGUUUGUUGGGACUGAGUAAUGAUUAAGAGGGACAGUUGGGGGCAUUUGUAUUUCGGUGCUAGAGGUGAAAUUCUUAGAUUACCGAAAGACAAACUGCUGCGAAAGCGUCUGCCAAGGAUGUUUUCAUUGA
rnacentral:rRNA from 1 species